UGGGGGAUAUUGCACAAUGGGGGGAACCCUGAUGCAGCGACGCCGCGUGAGCGAAGAAGAUCUUCGGAUUGUAAAGCUCUGUCUUAGGGGACGAUAAUGACGGUACCCUGAGAGGAAGCCACGGCUAACUACGUGCCAGCAGCCGCGGUAAUACGUAGGUGGCAAGCGUUGUCCGGAAUUACUGGGUGUAAAGGGAGCGCAGGCGGGUGCGCAAGUUGGAAGUGAAACUCAUGGGCUCAACCCAUGACCUGCUUUCAAAACUGCGCGUCUUGAGUGGUGUAGAGGUAGGCGGAAUUCCCGGUGUAGCGGUGGAAUGCGUAGAUAUCGGGAGGAACACCAGUGGCGAAGGCGGCCUACUGGGCACUAACUGACGCUGAGGCUCGAAAGCAUGGGUAGCAAACAGG
rnacentral:rRNA from 1 species